rnacentral:rRNA from 1 species
UACGUAGGGUGCAAGCGUUGUCCGGAAUUAUUGGGCGUAAAGAGCUUGUAGGCGGCUUGUCGCGUCUGCUGUGAAAUUUCGGGGCUCAACCCCGAACUUGCAGUGGGUACGGGCAGACUAGAGUGUGGUAGGGGAGACUGGAAUUCCUGGUGUAGCGGUGAAAUGCGCAGAUAUCAGGAGGAACACCAAUGGCGAAGGCAGCACUCUGGGACGUGACUGACGCUGAGACGCGAAAGCGUGGGGAGCAAACAGG